CAAUAGCAUAUAUGAAUGUUGUUGCAGUUAAAACGCUCGUAGUCGAUAAUGUCAGCCACUCUAGUUUAUUCUAGCGAUUGGCAGGACCAGAUAUCACGAUAUAAGAGGGCUCCUCGUCGAGUCUUGGUUGACAGAUGAAUUUUCAACUCAAAAAUUCAGAGUCAUUACCUUGAAUGAAACAGAGUUCUCAAAGCAGUGCUUUGGCACAGUGAAUGAUCAAGCAUGGGAUAAUACAUACCACUAUAUGUGUUGGUACUUCUCACCAAAACUACAAGUGAUUAAUAGGAACAGUUGAGGGCUCUAGUACUGAAUGGCGAGAGGUGAAAUUCUUAGACCCAUUCAAGACUACCUAAGGCGAAAGCAUUUGCCAAGGAUGUUUUCUUUGA
rnacentral:rRNA from 1 species